UUACCAUCAUCCCCAGCUGCUCCGAGAGAGCAAUGAACACAAUGAACCCAAUGGGUACCUUGCUUGGUCACUCAGCACUCCUGGGAGUUGUUAGAAGCUGUACUUCAGAUCCCACUUCUGAUACCAUCUGUUAAAAGAAAAAGUUCAGCUGAAUUAAAUUUAGCAGAGUUUAAUUGAGCAAUGAAUGAUUCAUGAAUCGGGCAACCUCCUGAGCCAAAGUAGGUUCAGAGACUCCAGUGAAGCUGCAUGGUGGAAGAGGAUUUAUGGACAGAAAAAAAAAAGUGACUUACAGAAAAUGGAGUGUCCUGAUGAUACUUCCAUUGCCACUUAAUAACUGGAUGAGCUUGGGAAGCAGGACCUCACUCCCCUCCUGUCUUCCCUUCUGGCCUUCCUGGUAGCCAUAACCAUGUACAAAUACGUGACCAUGAGAUGUUCCUGCCUGAUGUCCAGUGGCUCAGGGACCACAUCUGGACCUCAUCAAGACACCAUCAGCCCAUCAUCUGAACUUACAGCGCUCAAGGCAGCACUAAAUUCUGGAGAAGUGUGAGAACUCGAACUACUGAGGUCAAAGGAAGUGACACCAAGUGGCAGAGGAGAGUAUCCCAUCCAUACUCUGGGGGAAUGAGUGCUGACAUCAUGAAGCCCCCCUUAAAAAUCCAAGAGGACUGGGUUCCUGGAGCUUCUGGAUAGAUGAAGACGUGGAGUUUUCUAGAGGAUGGUGCACCCAGGGAGGGCAUGGAAGCUCUGUGCCCCUUUCCCCAUACCUCACCCUAUGUGUCUCUUCAUCUGUAUCCUUUGCAAUAUCCUUUAUAAUAAACAAGUAAAUGUAAGUAAGUGUUUCCCUGAGUUCUGAGAGCCACUCUAGCAAAUUAAUCAAACCCAAAGAGGGGAUCAUGGGAACAACUUGAAGCCGGUCAGUCAGAAGUUCCAGAGUCCCAGACUUGAGGCUGGUGUGUGUGUGUUGAGUAGGAGAAGUCUUGGGGACUGAGCCCUCAAAUUGUGGGAUCUGACAUUAUCUCUGGUUAGAUAAUGUUGCAACUAAAUUAGAGGACACCCAGCUGGUAUCUGCUGCUUGAUGUUUGCAGAAAAAAAACCCACACAUUUGAUCACGGAAGUCUUCUGUGUUGGUUGUUAAUAUGGUGUGAGACUAGAGGGGAAAUGUGGUUAUAGAGAAUUUUCCAUCUACACCAUCUCAUAGAGCUGUUGUUGGGGUCAGCUGCUUUGGUACAUGCCAAGUGCUAAGUAUCAGCUUUCACUGUUCACAAAAUUAACAGUUUUGUAAAUGCUUUGGGUAAAAAUAAGGUGAUGAACUUUCAAAAAUGUGAAUUUCUUCUGCUUUUUAAGCAUUUAAGAAACUGUAAUAUUUGACUUCUGAUUUUAAUCAAAUGCUUAAAAGUACAAUUUUUCAACAAUUAGUAAGAAUUUACAUAAAUUUAACUAAACUCUUAGGCUUCAAAUUUCUAUUGUUUUAUUUAUUUAGAGAAUGUUUAAAGGAGCAAUCAUUAAAGGAAGGGA
rnacentral:lncRNA from 10 species